ACUCCUACGGGAGGGCAGCAGUAGGGAAGUCUUCCACAAUGGGCGCAAGCCUGAUGGAGCAACACCGCGUGAGUGAAGAAGGGUUUCGGCUCGUAAAGCUCUGUUGUUAAAGAAGAACACGUAUGAGAGUAACUGUUCAUACGUUGACGGUAUUUAACCAGAAAGUCACGGCUAACUACGUGCCAGCAGCCGCGGUAAUACGUAGGUGGCAAGCGUUAUCCGGAUUUAUUGGGCGUAAAGAGAGUGCAGGCGGUUUUCUAAGUUCUGAUGUGAAAGCCUUCGGCUUAACCGGAGAAGUGCAUCGGAAACUGGAUAACUUGAGUGCAGAAGAGGGUAGUGGAACUCCAUGUGUAGCGGUGGAAUGCGUAGAUAUAUGGAAGAACACCAGUGGCGAAGGCGGCUACCUGGUCUGCAACUGACGCUGAGACUCGAAAGCAUGGGUAGCGAACAGGAUUAGAUACCCUGGUAGGAUAGCG
rnacentral:rRNA from 1 species